AACUUAGAGUAGUACAGAAAUGUAAAAGCAAGAGCAGCACUGCUUUCCCGGCUAGGAGUUUGAAUGUUGGUGCUGCUGUUUCCAUCAUGUAGGUGGGAGCGGUGCUGCUUUUACACACCGAGGGAUGAGUGCCAUCAUCAGAAGGAGUAAGAAAAUGAGCCUUGGUUUCCAGCUGUGUUCUCCAGUCAGCGUGUGAAUAAGAAGUGGAUUCACACUGCUGCUCACCUGCACCGUCAGUUACCCCCGCUGCAGGGCUGUGGGAACGUCGUGCUGCUUUAGAUACCCCUUAUUACACGUGAAAGUGCACUCUUCCCUGCCACAGCUCACAACACACCCUUGAGAGGCCUCAAAGUAUGAUACUUUAAAAUAUCCUGAUUCAGAUACUGAUACAGAUCUGAUGCUGGUCAUGCUAACUUCAGCGGGAGCUGAGAAAAUGUCGAUGUCCCAUUUACUUGUGUGCAUAAAUAUAAGAUCUGAUGAACUCCCUGAGUAAUUGACUCAGCCCCUGGGUUUGUACAUGCAAGUCUGUUCAGAUUGACCUGAGUAUUCACUUGCUCCUCUUUGCUUAAGUCAUCUUCUGUUAACAUGCAAAAACUAUUUUGACUGUUGAUGUCCUUGCUGACUGUAUGCAGUUUCUGCGGUUUUGGUCCUCCCGCCCCAAAUACUGAAGCUUCAGUUCUUGAAGAUCUGAUCACUAUUUGUAUUUUACAGUGCAAUAGAUCUUUUGUUGCACAUAAUGCAAAAUGUUAUAUUUCAGAACUUUGAUUUCUCUAACUGAAUGGUCUUCUGAGCUGGGAACUCCAGCAAUAAAUCAAGGAGAUUAAGG
ensembl:lncRNA